AAAAUUUGGGAGGUGAGAAUUUAUGGAAAUUGGUGGAUGUGAUGCCGAAGGUUGAUUUGCAUGAGCAACAGAUUCAGAAAUUGGCAAAUGUGGAGAAGAUUGGAUCCAUUGGUGGAAAGUAAUAUCUGUUGGGCGUGAAAGGGGAAGAGAUUGUUGAGAAAAUGGAAAAAUGGACUCAACAAAUGUGACGGGACGGGAAACAUAUAUUUUUUGUGAGGUUGGAUCAUAACACUGAUAUGCACUUUGGGUGGAGGAAUAACCAAGAAAGACACAAGGGUGAGAUCGAGAAGAAAGUUUGUGAGACCCAUAUGGUCGUAGCCACGGAUAACAAAGGCAACCAAAUACUUUUAAUUUGGAGUAAUUUGGUUGAUGGCCAAAUAAUUUUUCAAAGGAAGUUUUCAUAGAGACGGCAACUUUUGGCAUACGGUUAAUGAGGUAUGUAGCAGUAGUAAAUGCAUGUGGCCAAAAUGUGAGAGGCAUAUGGGCGUGAUGAAGCAAAGUGAGUCCAGUUUCGACUAUGUGGCGAUGACGAUGUUUAGAAAGGCCAUUAUGUUCUGGGGUGUGUGGUGGUGUGGUGAGGUGAGAGAUGCCAUUAGUAGCAAGAAAGGAUUUUAAAUAGGUGUAUUCUCCUUUAUUAUCCGCGUAAAGUGUAAUAAUAGAAUGGUUAAAGUACUUUUCUACUAAUGCUUUAAAGCGAAUAAAAAUGUCAUGGACAUCAGAUUUUUGUUUAAGAGUAUAUAGCUAAAUAUAUCGAGUGAAAUGGUCGACAAAUAUAACAUAAUAUUUAUAACCAUCAUAAGAAAUAACCGGAGAUGUCCACACAUCAAAAUAUAAUAAUUCAAGAGGAUGAGAGCUUGUAAGUGAGGAAGAAGAAAAUGGUAACUUAUGAGUUUUAUUACAGUGACAAGAAUUAUAAGGAAAAUCAAAGACAGUUGACGAUGAUGAUAACGGUAAAGUUUGACUUGAAACUAAAUUACGCAGAAUAUUAGAGGAUGGGUGACCAAGGCGAUAAUGCCAUUGAUCAAUGGGAACCUUGAUGGAUAAAAAGGCAAGUAAAGGCUUGGUUGCAGAGGACGGACGUGGCCACUCAUAAACACCAUUUCUAGUUGUUCCUUGCAGAAGUAGUGCCCUCGUGCGAAGAUCCUUCACAUAAAAGGAAGUUGGUAAGAAUUCAACAGACACGUUAUUAUGAGAACAGAAUUGAGAAACAGAAAUUAAAUUCUUUUUCAUAGAUGGAACACAUAAAACAUUAUUUAAAGAAAAAGACUGAGAAGAAGAUGGUAGGGUGGUGGAACCACUAUGAGUAAUAGGUAGACCGGUGCCAUCUCCAAUGUGCACACUUUCAGAGACCGGGUGUUCAUAAUGUAGUGACAGGUUAUGAAGAUCUGUUGUAACAUGAUGAGAUGCACCAGAGUCUAAAAUCCAUUCGAUGGCAGAGGGUGCAGGAGGAGUAGUCAUGUAGGUUUGUGGGGCAGCAAUAUGGGCUUGAGGCUGAGUAUUCGAAGACCAAAGAAUGUGUCUAAAGGUUGGACAACGUUUUGUAGAGUGACCUUGUUGGCGACAAAGUUGACACUUACCAAGAUAGGGACGAGGUUGAGUAGGAGGAAGUGGAGAAGGUGAAGGUGAGUGUGUGUGUGAAAAGAAGGGUGGACGAUUAUGUGAAAAGAGAGGUGGACGAUAAGGUGGAUUAAAAGGACGAUUUUGGGGCUGGUUUUUAGGUGGAUUGUGAAAGGGUUUUUGAGCUGGAUUGGCAGAAGCGGGCAUGUUGGAGAGAUUAGCUUUCUUUCGUGCUUCAUACUUUAGAUGUGCUUCAAAAUUGAUGAGUUUCUCAUGCAGUUCAUCAAACGUAAUAGGGUUGUCACGGACACGGAUGGCUGAGCAGAGGUCUUUGUAAUCUUCAUCAAGGCCACCUAAGAUUUUUAAUAUGAGAUCCUCGUUGUUCUUUCUGUUCUUUGAUUCUUACUUUGAUUUGCUUUGGUUGUUUAGAUUGUUUAAGCAUUCAAAAAUUGAGUACAGAUCAUCUAAAAUUUUUAGAUACAAGAACCUUUUUUGAGUGGAUCUUGGUGAGCCAUUAUCAGUUCUUUACUGGUAUUUGGCACAACAGAAACAAAUCACCUGAAAUUGUCCAGGUGCUGCUUAGUUGCUGUUAUGCAGUAAAAAUAAAACCUAGAACUUCUAGGUACUAUUUAACUGUUGUUAUGCAGCAAAAACAGUGCAUGAAAGUUUUCAAGUGCUGUUUUAUUGCUGUUUAUGUAGAAAAACAGCACCUAACGACUUCCAGUGCGGUUUAGCUGCUAUUUAUGUAGAAGAACCUGUUGUUGAUGUAGAAAAACAGCACUUGUAAGUUUAUAGGUGAUAUUUUACUAUUGUUUAUGCAGAAAAACAGCACUUGAAAAGUUGCUGGUGCUCUUUAGUGAAAGGUUUUAGAGAAUAAUAUAGAUUUGGGAAAAAUGGCUUGACCAGAAUUCAUUGAAAAAUAUAAUUACAAUUUAUACAAUUUACAUGUUUGUAUAGAAAAGGAAAUAAAUAAUAGAAAGGGAAAUAAAUAAUUCACCUAUUGCUAGCUUUCUAGAAUAUUGUAACUAUCCAAGAAUAAAAUAUUUACAACCAAAAAUAGAUGAUAUACAAUCAAGCAAAGGUUGACUACAAUGAUUCCUUAAUAUUUAGCUAUUGUUAUGCAGCGAGAGCAAUUUCUGAAACUUUCCAUGGAUGUAUUACUGCUGUUUUGUAAUUAAAACUGCACAUGAAAAUUUUGGGUGCUGUUUUGUAAUUAUUACUUUCCAUGGAUGUAAUUUUGCUGCUAAAAGUGCAUAUGAAAAAUUUCAGGUGUUGUUUAGAUGCUGUUUUGAAUCUUCUUUAGUUCUUUUCUGUUAUAUUUAUACUUGGCUGUUCCUUUUUCCUUUGGUAAUAAACAGGCACAACCUUUGCAAGGUUAUAUCCAAAGAUGCUAUUAAUUCUUUGGUUAAAAUAUAGGAAUCUAAACUUUAGGCCUCAGUUUUUUUAUUUUCCAAUGUAUAAUGGAUAGAUAUUGGGUGUCAUAUGGAUGAUGCAAUUAAACGCUUUUUUAUUGUCUCUAUUUUAGAAAAUAUGUUGUCAUUUAUUACCAAAUAGGUAUUUUGUAUUUUGAAACUACAUAAUUAAUAUAUUCCUCACUUUAUUUUAUGGAAAAAGGAGUUACAACGGAGGAGAGAUAGGUUUGGUUAGAUGCGAGUGAGCUAUAUGUACAUGGGAACUUGCUGUUAGAUAUGACACAUGAUAGAUAAAUUUGAAGUUAGUCUAUAAAAUUAAUAAUGAUUUGGUAUUUCAAAUUUUGGAAUUUUUUUAGUUUUGUUUAUUAAUAUAUAUUAGUUUGGGCAAUGGAGAAUGAAAUAAUUAUUAAAAUAUUAUGUUUGAUAAGUUAGAAUUUAAUACGUUAGAAAGUGAUAGAAAAUUAGAAGGAAAAUGUAACUAAUAGAGCCAAAUGGUACCUGAAAAAAUUUAUGGGUGUUAUUUUGUAGAUAAAACAACACCUGGAAUUUUCAUGUGUUGUUUCCUAUUUUUUUAAUUUUUCUUUUCUAUUUUUUUGUAUUAUGUACAUACUAGUUCUUUUUUUUUUUUUUUACCUUCGAUAAUUAACAGAUUUUUGCAAGACAACAUCUGAGCGCGUUAAUUCUUUGGUUACAAAGUAAUAAACUUUAGGCUUGAAAAUGGUGGAGUUAUGGAAAUUUUGAUGUAGAAGCGAAUUUGUAUUAUGUUGUAGGUUAGUGCAUGUUAAAGUUUUUUGUGAAGCUAUCUUUUGUAUAUGUGACAUUUAAGUGAAUUUAAUCGGAAAUUGCAAUUGAAACAGAGGCUUGAAAUGGUUCUUAAAUUACAAUUUUUUUUUAAUCAAUGAAAAGAUGACCUUUAUUGUCCAAAAAAUGUCAUUAAAUUUAACUUAUAAUGACGGUUUUUACUAGAACUAUCAUUAAAGGUAGUCAAUGAACAUUAUUGACUGUUAUAAUAUAAAAACUGUGAUGAAAAUAAAUAAAUGAUGACCGCUUUUACUAGAAUUGUCAUUAAAAAUAAUCAUACUACUAAUAAUAAAAUAACAGUUAAAACACAAAAACCCAUUAAAUCUCAACAUUUAAUAAUGAUUCUUAAACAAACAAAUCAUUAAAAAUAUUUUUUUCUUGAAAUUGGAUGGAAAUUAAUGACGGAUUAUUAAAAGAGCCAUCGUUAAAAAUUGAAAAAGAUGACGGUUCAUAAUGGUCACAAAAAAUAAUCUCAUUUCAUUGUUACUAUUUAAGAUGUCUAAGAUGAUGGUUUUAAAACAGUUGUCCCUCUCUUCAUUGUUAUUCCACACCUAAGAUGUGCCAUGGAAUAUCAAACCCCCCUAAUAACUUUCCCUCUCUUUUGAUUGAGAGUAAACUUUCUCUGAAGCAAUGAACAUAAAACCACAAGCCUCGGAGUCCCAGAUCCCUCAUUUCUUGGGCAUUAGGAUCAUAUAAGAGUAGUUGUCCGUCACUAGAUUCUAAGAAUAUUUCACCGUUCUUCCAAAGUCCAAGUGGAUUGUACGCUUCUAUAAAAGGUCCAAUAGUAAAUUGUUUGAUCCAACACCUUUCUUUCAGCACCCACAAUUGAUAACACUUCUUGAUCUCAUCUAAAGCUAUUAAAGAGAGUGAAUUAUCGUAUAAUCCAAGGGGCCCGUGAGUUAAUUCAGGAGUGCAUGGGCUUUCUAUCUCUUGGAUCACCUCGUCGCUCAAGUCAAAGGAUAUAAUCACAUGGUUUUCGCCUUCUUCUCGUGCUAACCAAUAACAAACUCCGUUCCAGUAUGUACUAUCUAUUCUACCACAUACAUAAUCUCUUCCUAGUUUAAAGCCUCUAAAACCUCUCCAAGAAUCAGUACUUAAGUUAUAAACUGCUAUAUGUGAAAAAUCAUAAUAAAAAUCUAUUUUUGUAUCCAACAAGGUCAGUAUCAAAACCAACUUGUAAUCAUUGCUCACAAUAUCUAGUCCGAAUCCAGCACUAGAAUUAUGAAUCGUUGUAUGGGGCGGAAGAGAAGCUCUGCAUUUUGGGAGCCGUCUGAGCUCUUGGGUUGCAAGGUUCCAAAGAGAUAUAUAUUUGUUACCGUUCAUCAAACAAAAUAUACCUUCAUAGGGGCCAACAAACCCUACAGGCAUUAUUGGAGGAUUGUCAAGACGUUUUGUGGAUAAGUCUAUCAACUUCUCAUCCAGGAAGAAUGUAAAAUAACUCAUUUCCAAAUUUCUAUCAUUCUCAUCUUCGAAUGUACAGUAUACUAAGAGACGGGUGUUGUGAUCUUUUCGUUGGUGCUUAUGGAUGAAUCUAGGGCUUUUAGUUAAAAUGUACCAAGAUUUACAAACACUCCUAUAUCGUAUUAGAGACUUCACCGGCAAUCUUAAUAACAUUUCAAUAAUUGCAUCAGCUGGCAAAUCUGCAUUGCUUUCCACCAUUAAUAUAUCUCUCUCCAUUUAAGCUCAUAAUCAAAUCGAUGCUUUUCCUGCCAUAAUUAUUUAUCAUAUAUUGUAAAACACCAAUUUCAUUUUGCUAUCAAUUUAAAGAAUUAAUUAAUUUCAACAUUUGACUCUGAUGACAACAAAAGACUAAAGACUAAAGACUAAUUAUCGUAUAAUAUGCGCUCGAAAAAAGUAAAUCCGACAUUUCUAUUGCUUGCUUGCAACAAAAUGUCCAACAAUAAAAUUGGUAAUUUUUUGGGCAUGAAUUACCGUUUGUGCUAAAGAUUAUGGGAUAAAGUUAAAAAAGAACAUGACAUAUCUCCUUAAUUGAAAAGGAACAUGACAUAUUUAAGGGAAAAAAAUAGUGUCAAAGCAGCAAGAAAUAGAAACAACUUUCUACCUUACUCUAGUUGCAUGGCUGGCGUCGACGAAAGCAAAUUGUACAACGCUAUCAACUUUUACAGAAAUCAAAUUAAUACAGAUCCUAGUGUGCUGGAUCAAGCUUCCACCUCUGGGAUGUUGGAGGUCAAGUUCAACAAAAUUUUGAUCUUGAGAGACCAAUGAUUAUAUAGAAGGGGAAAUUGCGAAAAGCGCGGACAAUCAUGGAUAGGCAAUAACUCCGCAACUAUGUUGUAAUACCCCACACCCCAUUUCUUUGACUUUUUCCCAGCCCUUUAUAAAAAGAUAAAAAAAAAGCUGACGGGGACAGAGAGGACAAAGAGAACCGGGUCGAACCCGACCUCCGAACGUGACCCGACCGGUUAUCCCAUUUCCGGCCACCACUCCAGCCAAGCUUAGUACCGAUCGGAAGCUCUUGAGCCACUGGUUAUCUGCAUGUCGUCCUUGCCGCCGGAAAACGUUCGGAAAGCCACCGAUCGAAGCCUUAAAGUUUCGCGGAAUCGCCGCCUCGAUUGGCUGCGAUUUUGGCGGUUUUCGGUGACGCCGCCGCUUUGGUUUUGUUCCCCACCAUCUCCUCUACUAUUUCCGACCAUCCACUGCCGUCGAAGAUGUUGUUUUGCGCCGAUCGGCCACUUGAGUAUUCGCGGUUUCCGAGCUGGAUUUCGGUGCCGUUGCCGCGCGUGGAAGGUCACCACCGCCACCAUUGGACUCAGCGUGGCUUGCACUUUCCGUUCUGAGCUUCCCGUCGCCGUCGGUUGAAUUCCGGUGACCGUUGACCGGCAAGCGUAUUUCGGUAAAUUUACAGUGUAAGGACAAUUUUGUAAUUUCAUAUUUUGUGGGUAUUUUAGUAAUUGUCAAAAUUGUGGAUAAAGUUGGUAAUAGGGAUGGCAAUAGCGGGUUUGCCAUUACCAAACCCAAAUCCGCACAAAAUUGAAAUUAUCAAACCCACCCGCAACCCGCAGCGGGUUUUAAUUUUUUUAAAAAAAUCCACCCGCAGCAGGUUUUAACAAUUACCAAACCUGCAAUGAUAUCCGGUGGAUUUUUUGUGGAUUUUCGUAUUUAAAAUCACAAAUGUUUAAUAUAUAAAUUUAUAAUAAUAACCUCAAAUUUCAUAUAACAUACUCAAUUUUAUAUUUAAAUAAUGUAAAUGAAAAAUUAAAAUUUCCACAUCAAUUCAACAUAAAUUCUCAAAUUUAAGUAUAAAUUACACAAAUCUAUUUUAAAAACACAAACUAGUAUCUAAAAAUAAUAAUUACAUUUCAUAUUAUCAUUUAAAACAAGCUCUAAGAGAAUAUAUUCAUUUCAUUCACCACCAUAAGCACCCAUCCAACACAAUGCCUAUAAUAAUAAUUAAAAUUAAUAUUUUCAAAUACUAAUUCGAAGGGAAAUGCCUUUAGUUUUCUUUAGGUUAUGACUUUAGAAUAGGAGAUUGACCACAUAAACACAUACACAACUUUGAACCUUUGGCUAUUUGGUAAUUUGAUUAAUGACAUUAUUUUUUUUAUACAUUUAUAGAUUAAAAUUAAAUUAAAAAUAUUUAAAAAAAAUAUUGCGGGUUUGGUGGAUAUUCAUGCGGGUAUCCACCGGAUAUAAGGUUAAUACCAAACCCACCCGCAUCCAUGUACGGGUUUUAAUUUAUAAUACUAAACCCGCCCGCAACGGAUAAAAUUACCCACAACGGGCGGGUUUUGGCGGGUGGGUUUGGGCGAGUUUGCGGGUUUGCGAGUACAAUUACCAUCCCUAGUUGGUAAUUUAUGAUUUUGACGUUAAGUUGGUAAAUUAUGAUUUUAGGGGUGUUUUGGUUAUUUUGAAUUCAAGGGCAUUUUAGUAAUUUUAAGAUAUUUGAGGGUAAUUUUAUAAUUUGAGGAAUUAAUGUGUAUUUUGGUGAUUUAUGAUUUAAAUUGAGAUUAUUUGAGGUUAAGUAUGGAAUGUGAUUAUAUCGAGGAAUUUGAGAAUAUUGGAUUUUAUGAUUAUGAUUUAAUUUUAUCUUAUGAGAGUAUUUUUAUUGAUUUUAGGCCGAUGAUAUCUAUACGCAUUUGGUACUCGAGAAUGUCAGAAAGUAAGUAAAUUAAAUUUUCAAACGAAUCACAAUAAACAACGUUAUAUGUUUGACAUGUUUGGAAAGUCUAUUUUGAUAUAUACGGAUAUUGAUUUAUAUGUUCUGCCCAUGUGUUUACAUGAUGUGUUGAUAGGAUGUGUUGUUAUGUGUUAUGUGUGUAUUUAUGGACAUGGGUAUAUGUAUGUGUAGAAUUUCAUUGGCAUGAGCAUGAAAAUGCAUUAUGUUUUCUAUAAAACGAGAAAGUGAAUUUUAGACAACCGAAAUUUGAAGAAAGAAAGAUUGUUUUACAAUUUUGGCUUGGAUGUUUGAAUUCAUUACUGGCUUAGGGGAGGACACUAUGGAUGUUAUAUUAUUGUUAUGAGAUAAGUGGGCGAGGAACGUGUUGGCGAGAAACCCAAAGUGUAUGGAAGUUAUGAAUAUUAAUAGAGUGUCCUACUAAGCAGUAAUUGAAUGAAGGUAGUUCAAGUGAGUGAUUUGAAAGAGAAUUGAAAGUUUGAGAAUGAUAGAAUGAGAUUUCAAUGAAUUGUUUACAAUGUUUUCGAAUAUCAUGGCAUGUCAUCUAUUUGCGUUAUAUGUAUGUAUGUAUGUAUGUAUUUUGGUAUAUGAAAAAUUGGUUUGUUUAUUGAAUUUCAUACUCAUUAUAAUUUAUUAUGAGUCAGUUUUCAUAAAUUAGGAUUGAUUCAUGAUGAAUGACGAGAAGAACAUGAAUUAAGGACGGUAGAUAAUUUGACAUAAAUUUUAAAUUUUUCCGCUGUAAUUUGUGUAAUAUAUUUGUAUUUUGAGGUUUAAAUUUUUAUGAAUUGUAAAAUGAUUAUUAUUAUUAUUAUUAAGUAUAGAUAUUUGAACUCUAGUAAGAUUCGCCCUCCACGGAAUUCGCCCCGUAGAGGUCGGGGCAGGUGGUUACACAUGUUGAUUGCUAGAAGAAGC
rnacentral:lncRNA from 1 species